rnacentral:rRNA from 1 species
CCUACGGGAGGCAGCAGUAGGGAAUCUUCCACAAUGGGCGAAAGCCUGAUGGAGCAACGCCGCGUGGGUGAAGAAGGUCUUCGGAUCGUAAAACCCUUUUGUUAGAGAAGAAAGCGCGUGAGAGUAACUGUUCACGUUUCGACGGUAUCUAACCAGAAAGCCACGGCUAACUACGUGCCAGCAGCCGCGGUAAUACGUAGGUGGCAAGCGUUAUCCGGAUUUAUUGGGCGUAAAGGGAACGCAGGCGGUCUGUUAAGUCUGAUGUGAAAGCCUUCGGCUGAACCGGGGUAGUGCAUUGGAAACUGGGAGACUAGAGUGUAGAAGAGGAGAGUAGAACUCCAGGUGUAGCGGUGAAAUGCGUAGAUAUAUGGAAGAACACCGGUGGCGAAGGCGGCCCUCUGGAC